AACGAACGCUGGCGGCAGGCUUAACACAUGCAAGUCGAACGCCCCGCAAGGGGAGUGGCAGACGGGUGAGUAACGCGUGGGAACAUACCCUUUCCUGCGGAAUAGCUCUGGGAAACUGGAAUUAAUACCCCAUACGCCCUACGGGUGAAAGAUUUAUCGGGGAAGGAUUGGCCCGCGUUGGAUUAGCUAGUUGGUGGGGUUAAGGCCUACCAAGGCGACGAUCCAUAGCUGGUCUGAGAGGAUGAUCAGCCACAUUGGGACUGAGACACGGCCCAAACUCCUACGGGAGGCAGCAGUGGGGAAUAUUGGACAAUGGGCGCAAGCCUGAUCCAGCCAUGCCGCGUGAGUGAUGAAGGCCUUAGGGUUGUAAAGCUCUUUCACCGAUGAAGAUAAUGACGGUAGUCGGAGAAGAAGCCCCGGCUAACUUCGUGCCAGCCGCCGCAGUAAGAC
rnacentral:rRNA from 1 species